rnacentral:lncRNA from 1 species
AUUGCUGGUGAUCAGUAGAGAGUCAAAACACCCACCUGCUGUCCUCCCCCCGGCUGGAGCCUUUUCUCUUUAAUUUCCUGUGGGUUUGGUGAGGUGGAAUUCCAUUCUGAAUUGCUCCAGAAAAAGAGGAGGAGUAGGCCUUGUGUCUCCUGAAUCAAUUCAGAAAGGUCACAAACCCAUUUGCCAGUGGAAAAUAGGAGAAGGGAAUGCUUCUGUUUCCUAUGACGGGCUUCAAGAUACACUCAGUGGACCAGCUAUUAUCUUCUCCAUCCUGAAGUUUCAGCAUCUAUUUUAGGAUUUCUAAAGUCAUGUGCUGCAUAACGAUGAUUUGGUCAACGACUGACGGCGUAUAUGAUGGUGCCCCCACUCACUGACUCACCCAGAGCAACUGCCAGUCCCGCAACUUCCAUUCAUGAUUCUACUACAAGUUUCAGUCAUUGAAAUAUCAUCAUCCUGUUGGCAGCGGCUAAAGAUUAAUUUGGAGGCUGUGUGGAGAGUGUAGUAGAAGGAUGGGAUUCUCGGUCAGGGUCAUGUUUCCACAAUCCAGGGAAAAGUUAAGGCUGGACCUAAAGCAGGACUGGUGAUUGUUUGAGGUCCUCUCUUGCUUGAGAAAAGCUCAGUGUGGAAAUGCUAUCAGAAGUGACUGCACUGGCACAUGGCUUCCUUUACCAUUGUGAGCAGAUACAGAUGGAGGAAAUGGCUACAUGGUUUGUUCUGUAGAUGGAACGUUAAGUGCAGGAGUUGGCCCCGAAGUACUAUUUCCUUUUGUGGAUGAUGGGACAAAGGAAAGCGUAAUUCGCAGACCAAAGGAAGACAACUUCAUUUACAACUUCAUCUGGAUGUUUCUGACACCUGAAACUACUCAACAAAAAUGGUGCCUCCAAUGUCAAUGGAAGAGGAGACCUAUAGAAAACGCGGCUGACCCUGAUCAUAUGGCUGAAUAUGCACGUCAUUCAGGAUUCAGAGAAAAUGAAGGAGGCGAGCUGGUGCAACCUGGCGUGGCGGCACAUCCUGCAACUGCCCAACUGCGCCAACCGGGCAGCUGGCACGUUGGAGACAGCAUCUGUGAACUUCGGUGGCACCCUGUGCCCACCCACCUUCACAGCAUCAUGACUGCUAAUUCCUCCUUCCAAACCUCACACACAUUUCUCUUGUGGUCCACUCUCAACCAGAAUCACUCAGUCAACAGAAUUUGGGGGAAUGUAGUCCCAUUAAGCUAACAGAGUUUAAUACACCAAAGGGCCCUAAGAUCUUAGGCUGGUGUAUUUCCAUAGUUCUUAUUAAGUGCUCAGAUGUGAGGGUGAGCUCCCUGCCUCUGGUAAGAAGUCUCCAGGGCCCUUUACCAUUUAUGUAGCAUCCUCCUUGCAGAAGUCAGUGGGUCCUUUUGUGCUCUAAUCUGAGAUCUUGUGGAAGGAAGAGCAGAGAAAGGCAGUGCUGACAGCCAGGAGGCAAGGAGAACCAGAUGCCCAAUACACAGUGAAAACGCCUAAUCUGAUCACACGUUGUGAUCUAACUCCAGGCCCCAAAUAAAGUAACCAUGAACUUGAGAGGGAAGGCUAGAUGUUUGAAUUUGCCACAAUUAACUGAAAUUUAUGUUGGGGAAACCAGCAGUCUAAUCCAAAUCCACUGUAGGGAGAAACAUGUCUCCAGGGUUUUAAUAUCAGAAAUUGUAUGUAAAUCUGGUUUCCUGUAUUAAAAAUAGUACAGCUCUUCAAGGAACAGACUGCCUUGUUUUUGUGUCUCUAAAACAUAAUUUUACGGAAACCAAGUCAGUUCUAAAACUAGUCAAGUUCCCACCUUCAUAAAGAACCCUAUAGACAAAUAGAAUCAACAAACUAUUCCUCCUCACUGGGCGCCCUGCUGGAGAAAAGGAAGAUACUCCAGGGUUUUCCAUGAGCUCAUAAGAUAUCCUAAAA